UACGUAGGGUGCGAGCGUUAAUCGGAAUUACUGGGCGUAAAGCGUGCGCAGGCGGUUCGCUAAGACCGAUGUGAAAUCCCCGGGCUUAACCUGGGAACUGCAUUGGUGACUGGCGGGCUAGAGUAUGGCAGAGGGGGGUAGAAUUCCACGUGUAGCAGUGAAAUGCGUAGAGAUGUGGAGGAAUACCGAUGGCGAAGGCGGCAUCCUGGACCGGUAUUGACGCUGAGGCGCGAAAGCCAGGGGAGCAAACGGG
rnacentral:rRNA from 1 species